rnacentral:rRNA from 1 species
AUGUGGUGUACCCUUGUGCUCAUUUUAACUUCUUUUGUCCAUGAAAAAAAUACGCAAUCUUUGCGUAUUCACAAAAGAAAGUCAUCAUAUAUGGCCCCCGACGAAGUUGCCGAUCCAAAAGCCGCCAUCAUUCAUAGUUUCGACCACCAGUAUGCUCCCAGUAUCGAUGAUGAGCAGAGCACAUGCCCACUCGUUGCUCUUGGUGAAAUUCACCCCGAUGAUGAGGUUGAACGACUCCUACCUGAGCAGCUGAAGGUCUACAUUAACCUGCAAGAUCAAAUCCAUCGAUCGACACAGCAUGACACGAUGGGCUGUGUGGAAACAUGCAGAGGAUGA